rnacentral:tRNA from 1 species
UCCCGGGUAGUUCAAUUGGCAGAACGCCAGCCUUUGGAGCUGGAUGUCGGAGGUUCGAACCCUCCCCCGGGAA